ACUGGAACUUAAGGUGCUGACAGCAUUGAGCUUUUAUGCCAUGGGUUCAUAUCAGAAAGGUGUUGCUAAUGAGGUACAUAUGAAUCAAAAAAGUGUAAGUCGGUGUAUCAGAGAGGUGACAAAAGCUCUGAAUGAGAUUUCAAAUAAAUGGAUACAAUUCCCACAAACAAGCACACAAAGAACUAAAAUUAAGCAAGGAUUUUAUACUAAGUUUAAUUUUCCUGGUGUAAUUGGUGCCAUUGAUUGCACCCAUGUGGCCAUAGUUC